rnacentral:rRNA from 1 species
GACGAAGGGGGCUAGCGUUGUUCGGAAUUACUGGGCGUAAAGCGCGUGUAGGCGGUUGCCCAAGUCGGGUGCGAAAGCCUUGAGCUCAACUCAAGAAAUGCACUCGGUACUGGGUGACUAGAGGACCGGAGAGGAUAGUGGAAUUCCCAGUGUAGUGGUGAAAUACGUAGAGAUUGGGAAGAACACCAGUGGCGAAGGCGGCUAUCUGGACGGUUUCUGACGCUAAGACGCGAAAGCGUGGGGAGCAAACAGG